GCUGUCCUUCCUUUCCACAACCAGGCAGCAUGGAGCAUGUGGGCAGCAGCAAAUGAGAGUCCAUUGCCUUUGCAGGGUACAAAUCGUAUAGUUUUUCAAGAUACGAUUGGAACACUCACAAUUAAUUAUCAGGAAUAGGCAGGCAGCCAGUCGCAUGGUCCAAGAAUCAAUCUCGACUUCAAAGUUCAGUACUGCCUCCAUGUUUCUCCUUGGCAUUGGCAUUAGGUUCCCACCAACCUUUUUUCCUUUGGUCUUGACACAAUAAUAAGACACAGACAUGGACUUCUACUGACCAUAUCAAAAGAAUAAAUCAAUUGCUGCCAGCAAGAUAUCCACCUCUCCUUUUCAAGCAGAUAAGGAGGGUGGGCAGAUAAGGUCAGAGAUAAAG